AUGGCUCAGGACGAACGCUGGCGGCGUGCCUAACACAUGCAAGUCGAGCGAGGAGAUCCUUCGGGAUGAUCCUAGCGGCGGACGGGUGAGUAACACGUGGGCAACCUGCCUCAUAGAGAGGAAUAGCCUUCCGAAAGGGAGAUUAAUACCUCAUAACAUUGCAGUUUCGCAUGGAACAGCAAUUAGAGGAGUAAUCCGCUAUGAGAUGGGCCCGCGGCGCAUUAGCUAGUUGGUGAGGUAACGGCUCACCAAGGCGACGAUGCGUAGCCGACCUGAGAGGGUGAUCGGCCACAUUGGGACUGAGACACGGCCCAGACUCCUACGGGAGGCAGCAGUGGGGAAUAUUGCACAAUGGGGGAAACCCUGAUGCCAGCAACGCCGCGUGAGUGAUGACGGCCUUCGGGUUGUAAAGCUCUGUCUUCAGGGACGAUAAUGACGGUACCUGAGGAGGAAGCCACGGCUAACUACGUGCCAGCCGCCGC
rnacentral:rRNA from 1 species